ACCCCGGGAGGGGAGUGAAAAGAAUCUGAAACUGUAUGCUUACAAGAUGUCAGAGACCGUUAAAGGUUGAUGACGUGCCUAUUGAAGAAUGAGCCGGCGAGUUAUGUAUACAUGCGAGGUUAAGGAGAAGAUCCGGAGCCGUAGCGAAAGCGAGUCUGAAUAGGGCGUUCAGUAUGUGUAUGUAGACCCGAAACCCGACGAUCUAGCCAUGAUCAAGAUGAAGUAAGGGUCAAACCUUAUGGAGGUCUGAACCGACGUUCGUUGAAACGACCGCGGAUGAAUUGUGGCUCGUGGUGAAAUUCCAAUCGAGUCGGGUAAUAGCUGGUUCUCCUCGAAAUAGCUUUAGGGCUAGCCUCAGAACACUACAUUUUGGAGGUAGAGCACUGAAUGAAAGCGAGCCGCGCCAAGCGGUAUCAAUUUCAAUCAAACUCCGAAUUCCGAGAUGCUUAUUCUGGGAGUCAGACUGUGGGAGAUAAGUUUCAUGGUCAAAAGGGCAACAGCCCGGACCGCCAACUAAGGUCCCUAAAUUCGCGCUAAGUGUUAAAGGAUGUAGAGAUACUUAAACAGCUAGGAUGUUGGCUCAGAGGCAGCCAUCAUUUAAAGAAUGCGUAACAGCUCACUAGUCAAGUGUCUCCGCGCCGAAAAUUUACCGGGGCUAAGCGCGAUACCGAAGUUGCGGAUAUUUCUAAAGAAAUGUGGUAGGGGAGCGUUCCAUUAGCAUAGAAGCCAUACCGGAAGGAGUGGUGGAGCGAAUGGAAGUGAGAAUGCCGGCGUAAGUAACGAUAAGAGGUGAGAAUCCUCUUCACCAUUUGACUAAGGUUUCCUGGGCUAGGUUCGUCCACCCAGGGUCAGUCGGGACCUAAGACGAGGCCGAAAGGCGUAGCCGAUGGACAGCAGGUUAAUAUUCCUGAACCCGGUUGUGUGCGAUCGCAGUGACGAAAGCGGUUAGGUUUACCCACGAAUGGAAGUGUGGGGAGAUAGUGAUAAGCUGUCGGCUAGAAUCCGACACCAAGUGAAACACCGAAGUACGAAAGGGGUGACCUGAGUAGGAAGUAGCUGAUACCGAUUUCCAAGAAAAGCUGCUAGCUUAAGCACAAUCGGCCCGUACCGAGAACGGACACACGUGGUCAAGGAGAGUAUCCUAAGGUGAGCGAGAUAACUGUUGUUAAGGAACUCUGCAAAAUUACUUCGUAAGUUAGCGAGAAGAAGUGCUCCGUAAAAGGAGCCGCAGUGAAGAGGCCCAAGUAACUGUUUACCAAAAACACAGCUCUAUGCUAAGUCGUAAGACGAUGUAUAUGGGGUGAAGCCUGCCCGGUGCCGGAAGGUUAAUAGGAGAGGUGAAAGCUUUGAAUUGAAGCCCCGGUGAACGGCGGCCGUAACUAUAACGGUCCUAAGGUAGCGAAAUUCCUUGUCAGGUAAGUUCUGACGUGCACGAAUGGUUUAAUAAUUUGGGCGCUGUCUCGACAGCAGACUCGGUGAAAUCUUAAUACCGGUGAAGAUGCCGGUUACCCGCGACUAGACGGAAAGACCCCAUGGAGCUUUACUACAACUUAAUAUUGAGUAAUUGCAAAUCAUGUAGAGGAUAGGUGGGAGGCUAUGAAGUAAUGGCGCUAGCUAUUAUGGAGCCGCCCUUGGAAUACCACCCUUGAUUUACAGUUAUUCUAACUUCCUCCCUGGAUGGGAGGGAAGACAGUGUUAGGCGGGUAGUUUGGCUGGGGCGGCCGCCUCCCAAAUAGUAACGGAGGCGCCCUAAGGUACCCUCAGUAUGGUCGGAAAUCAUACGUAGAGCGCAAAUGCAUAAGGGUGCUUGACUGCGAGACACACAGGUCGAGCAGGUACGAAAGUAGGGAUUAGUGACCAGGCGGUUUCAUUGUGGAAUGGCCGUCGCUUAACGGAUAAAAGCUACCCUGG
rnacentral:rRNA from 1 species